UACAAAAAGUGGAUUUUAUCUCGAAUGGAAGGACUAAUGAACAUAAAUUUGGACUCAGAUUGAAGAUAAAAGAUCCAGGGAAUUCUGAUGGAAACCUGUUUACCCGCCAAGGUUAAGGAUUGAAGUCGAGACUGCUGUGACAAUGAUGCUGCUCCUGCUGGAUGUGACGGGUCUGGCUUAAUUGGUCUGGAAUGACAAAAACUCACUACAGACUUGAAGACUAGACCGAAUAACAACUCUAUUAUGAUUAUUUAUUUAUUUAUUUAUUGCCAGUUAUAACUUUUAGUUCAUUUAAUUCUGUGUUUGUAUGAUUUGUGUAAAUCCUACUUAUUUAAAGUAUCCUCCAGGCCACCCAAGAAGGAUGGGCCCUGCUGAGUCUGGUUCCUCUCAAGGUUUCUUCCUGUAAUUUUCAGGGAGUUUUUCCUUGCCACAGUUGCCCACGGCUUGCUCAACAGGGGGUUUUGUAUCUGUUGGUCCUGGAUUUUCUAAAGUUGCUUUGAGACAAUGUCUAUUGUAAAAAGCGCUAUAUAAAUAAAGCUGACUUGACUUGAAA